AAUUUGUAAAACUGCGACUUUUAUUAAAAUAUCAUUGGAAAUUAGGCAUCACGCUGAUAAUAUCCCAAAUUUCAUUUUUUAUAUUUCGUAAGCGACUCACAUCUCAUCGGGCGGUUUGCUGGACCGAGCCAGGAACAACCCUCCUAAGCAAGAAUUGAAGAAGAUACCAAGAGUCCGAGUACAAACAACCACAAAAGCAUCUGGAUCACAAAAGCACUUUCGGCUUUCCUUUGAAAACCCAACCAGCCUGCCCUGGUUAUUCAACUUCAAAGCAAACGCAGCCCAAUCAUCUCCAUUGCCCUUCCCCUCAAUCUCUUGGGUUUGUUUGUGGAAGCUGACGCCAAACAUGGAACAAGAAACAGAAGCUUAUGUUUCUAAGGCGGCGGCGCUGAUGGCCUGCGUAUUAAUGACGUUGUCAUACGUUGGCAUUCUCUAUGCUCCUACUCUGAUCUUGCGGCUCCCACCUCCUGCUUCUCUCAAGCAUUAUCUGAUCCGACGAUUCAUAUGCGCUGCCAUUUCUUCUAUCAUCUCGCUUAUCUUCUCUGCUCUCAUCCUCCCCGUAAGUUUUUUUCCCUGAAAUUUGUCCAUACAGUUCUUGUUAUUAUCAUCGACUGGAUAUUGAGUUGCAAAGAAGCAGCGCAUGAUCAGCGGUGGCACUUUUGUAAUUUUCACUUUUCAAACUUAUUAUGCUGAGUUUACAUUAGCUAUAAAUGUAGCUUGUCUUAGUGUGUAUUCGUGAGUUCUUGGGAUUUCAAAUAGCUAGAAGCAAUUUUGCUGCUUUUUUUUGGGGUGGGGGGGUGGAGGGUUUGGAAAUUCAGAACAGUUCUUCUAGAAGAUAGGUGCUUAAUAAGAAUGAGCUUCUGGGGCUAAAAUUCUUUUUCUCAAAAGUGCUUGUUACAGAAGUACUCCAAGUUGUGACUCUUUGAUAUAUGCUUUGGUUUCGCAAUUCCAUUUCUGUUUUGUGGAUAUCUUGCAUCAGUUUGGCAUCAUUUUUCAGUGUGAUGCUUCAAAUAUGAUUAUUUUUUCUUUAAAAGGGAAAGAAAUAAGUCUCUGUUAACUGUGCUCUAAUGUGCUUGUUAUCUGCAGCCUUUUUUUUUUUUCCCCCCGCUUGUUGUCUGAAGCUGACAGUUUCAAAAUAUUUUGUAAUGAUAGAUAAGAAGCUGGGAGACAUCAAAUGUAUUAGGUGUUUAUGGUAUUCGAGCAGACCAUAUGGUGAGUGAGAAAAGUUAGAUUGAUAUUUGAUAACAUGAACUCUCUUCUUUUAACCAUUGUAAAGUGAGUAUUGGGUGCUUGGAAGGAUCCAUUUGUUUGCCCAUGGUAAUUAUUUUUUUAAUACUGUUGUAUGGUCUGCAGAUUGGAAAAGGGUGACUGAUUGCUAAAUUUGCAUGCUGAAAUGCAAUUUUAUGUAUGAAACAGUGGCAAGCUGCGGUCUUUCCGCUUUUCCUGACGUCUUUAAUGUAUGCUGGAAGCAUGGUCCUGAAGUCCUUGUUAUUGUUGAAUUCAUGGACAACGGAUAUGAAUAAUAGUGGAGGACUUUCUUUAGGCUGUAUCAAAAUUGUGCUGUGGUCACUCCGUGCUCAGAUGUUUGCUGUUGCAUCCAAUAUUCUGGCAUGGCGUAAUUUUGUUGUGGUGAGUUUGUUUUCCAUUUCUAUAUUUUGAUCUUUUGGUUGAUUGUAAAUAAUCUUAAUAUGUGUCCUAAGGGUGUGUUUCACGAUACCUGUGUUUUACCAAAGAAAUGGUCAAGUCAUAUCUAUGUGUAUAUAAAUUUACAUAGAUUGAUAUAAGUUUUGGUGUAUCUUUUAUUUGACAUGUUUAUCUUCUUCUUUUUGGACAAUGAAAAUAUUGUACAUAGGAUGGGAACAGAUGAGAGUCCUGUGUUCUGCCUGUAAUUGGUUUUAUCAUAGAGGAUUCAUUAAUUUACAAGUUCCAUUCACCCCUGAUGUUCUUUGAUCAAUUGUAAUAGUAUUCAUCGAAUGGGGAAAUUCAAAUGAGUUCCCCUUUCAGCUCUUGACAAUACUUUAUUGAACAGGCACCAUUGACAGAGGAGUUGGUGUUCAGGGCAUGUAUGAUACCGCUACUUCUCUGUGGAGGAUUCAAGAUAAAUACUAUCAUUUUUCUCUGCCCUGUUUUCUUUAGCUUGGGUAAGUUGAUUACUUUUUUAAGAUACUAAAAUUCUUGUUUGAUCUGUCUGUAUCUUUAGUAACAUUUAUUUACCCUAUGCUUUUACAAAGCCCCUCCAACUUGUCGAAUGGGUAAAUAUUCCACUCUUUUAAUUUAUUGCAUAAAAUUAUGGUAUAAAAGUGCAAUUAAAAACCCUUGCAGAUCACGCAAGGCGAAUUUAAUCAAUGAUUAUUACUUUACUGGAUAAGUUGGUAGAAAUAUCUAACUGGAUAGGCUAAAUUAUUCCAUGAUUUAAAUGGAUUGUCGUGUUAGUACCAGUCUUAACUCAUUAAUCGAAUUUAGCGAAUGAUGACUGCUGCAGUGGUAGUAGCAGUUUGUCGCUUAUCAUUUCCUCAAUGUUACCUUUUAUAAGUAGUCUAUACUUUCUGCAUUUAUUGUUUCAGCUUCUGUUACAUAUAUUUAGUAACAUACCUACAUUUUGUUUACCUAUGUUUUGUUUGAGGUGGUUUAUUCUCUGACCGGUCUCUUUGUAUGAUCUUUACUUUGCAGCUCAUUUGAACCAUCUAAUGGAGAUCUACAGCGCUCAAAACUUUAGCCUGCUAAAAGCCUCUAUGAUUGUGGGUAUGUACUAAUUUUCACUCUUUGCUCUGUUUCUGUUAUUCUACCCAGUAGAGUAGGCUGCUUGAUAUUCUUCCUUCUUCUGUUUUGUUAAUCAUAAUCGAACAUCUUGUGAAUAUAUGUCAGGUCUUCAGCUUGGUUACACUGUGGUCUUUGGCUGGUAUGCUUCGUUUUUGUUCAUUCGAACCGGUGAGUUAUUGUUUAUGAGUUAGUCUUAUGGCCAUUUACUUGUAGCAUUUUCUCAUCAAUUCCCGAUUUUGAGGAAUGAGGAUGUUUUGGAUGGACAUGCAUAUUUAUUCUGUUGUCAAUACUUUUUUUAUUAGCAAUGAUUAAUUUUGUCAGCUGCAUCUUUAAAUCAUGUAGUAACUGUGUCAAAAAUUAACUGGCUGGUAAACAUUGUUGCUAUUGUAGGCGACAAGGUCACUUAUACUUUUAGCUAUUUUUGAGAUUUAGAAUUUAGAUUAUUCUUUUAUAUCAGGUUGCUCAAUUUAGCUUUGCCUUGCUAACUCUUAACACAGUCACAUAUUGUAUUUAUUUAUUUACUUAUUUUUGCAGGACAUCUUGCUGCACCAUUAAUUGCUCAUAUAUUUUGCAAUUAUAUGGGACUGCCUGUGGUAUUUGCACGAAAUAGAGGUGCGAGUAAUCCUAGUGAACCAUAUUUCUUGAUGAUUCUAUAUAAUAUUGUGCAUCAUAUUCAGAUGUAGGAUGUGUUAAACUUUAUAAAUCUUAGUUUAGUUGAUCAUUAUUUAUGGUUCUUAGUUUUCUGAUAAUUGCGUUCUGUUGUGCUUUCUUAAAUUUCUGACCAAGUUCGAAAUAAGUGUCUUAAGGUUGUGGUCAUGGUAUUGGUCUGCAAUUUUAUAUCUCGGGGAUGGUGUAGUAUUAUCAUGCAGUUUCUUGGUCUUUGCAGUACUGCUAGUGGUAUUUGAUCUUCUAUUAUCAUUUGCCUGUCUGGGAUUAAAGGGCCAAUUGUAACAAUUUAAGUCACGCACGGUUGUAUCUCCCUCUAUACCAUCUGUUCUGUCAAACCUCAACCUAAUCUUAUUAAUUUUCCCCCUUUUUCAGGAUUAGUGAGUGUAGCAUUUGUAGCAGGAAUGGUGGCUUUCUUGUGGCUUCUUUUUCCAAUCACUCGGCCUGAUUUGUAUAACGACAGAACAAACAAUUGCAGAUGUUUGCACGGAUAUUGUUCAUGGAACUAAACUUUCAGGAAAUGGACUUUGAUGUACAUUCAUCUGAUUUAGUUGUUAAGGGAAAUGAAAACAAGAAUGAUAACACUUAGCUACAUACUUUCUUAUGCCUCUUGUAUUGUUUCUAUUUUCUAAAGCCUACACCGUUUGCCUCCGAUUACUCUUGCUAACAACAUUGGUCUUCAUGGAUUUGCAUAAUAGACCUCGAUUCGACUUUCAAAUAAAUUCACAAUGUUACUAUUGAAAUCAUCAUAACUUGUAUGUAUAUAAAAAUAAAAAAUAAAAAAAGAAUCCACACUUAGAAUUUUCAGUACCAUUGCUUCCAAUCUUAACUAAUGAGGCAAAAGAAAUGGAACGCGGCCAUUCAUAUGAAGUGUUGAUAUGCGUUUAAAGCAUGUGCAUUAAUGCAACAAUUUUGAAAAUUAUAUAUGUUGUAGAACCACCACCAACAACAAAGUCGUUGUAGUAUAGUGGUGAGUAUUCCCGCCUGUCACGCGGGUGACCCGGGUUCGAUCCCCGGCAACGGCGGUAUGGCCUCUUUUUGGAAAGUGAAAAGUCCGCGAUCUGCAGUUGAAAACGCGCGAUUUCAACCUUUCUAAAUCUGAACUUUCCCUCCUUAUUUUUUUUGUUUUUUAUUUUAUUCUCAGCAUCCAAACAGAAAAAUGAUUCUCCAACGCGACUGCAAGUUCGCUUUGAAUCUCAAAUCUCAAAACAAUACUCGAAAUGCUCCCCUUGAUAUAUAAGGUGAUUUUAUUAACUCAAAUCUCCUUUCAAUUGACGUUACAUGCGGAUCAUGUAAUGAAUUAAAAUUCUCAUUGAAUGUGCGUUCUAUUUCUUUUUAACCCGAAUCCUUUGUUCAUCAAACUAUAAUUAUUCUUUCUACUUUGCUUCUGUUUAGUAUCUAUUGCUUAAUUGAUUGGAUUCGAACUUUUUGAAUUCUUUUCAAUGAUACGGAAAAUUUUCGCCACAGAUAUUACAUGGUGAUUUGCUAAUUAAAAAUUAAUAUUACUGAUUUUAAUUUGUUUCAACUAAUCAUGACUUUAUGAGGUUAUUACUAAUAUAUCUACUUGAUAUUGUUUAAUGUUGAAGUUUCAGUGCCAUGUCUUAACAUGAUCAAGGAGGUCGUUUGAAUUUGAAUUUAGUUUCCCUAAUACCUAUAAAACCACUCCAUAGCUUAAAAUUUCACUUUAUAAGUAAUUCUUACGAAUCAAUGAGGCCAGCAUCGGUAUAUUUCUAGCUACAGUACGUUUUAUCAAUUCACUGAAUACCAGUUGAUAUAUUAUUACCAUGCUGCACAGCAUAUGUAAUGCAGGACCAAUGGUUACAAGUAAUACCAGAAGCAGAACAGCCCAAACGGUCGCAUAUUCCUUUCAGGGGUCAGCAUUCACUGCCCAGGUACCGAUUUGGGCUUGCUUCCAUUAAUUGUUGACAGUAAUAUAUGAUUUUAUGAUCUCAUCCACGGGGAAAAUUGUGGAAUUGGUUGUCUUGGAAGUUUAGUUGAAAGUGUCCUCCUGUACAGAUUGGUAAUUGUUUAACUUACAAGGUGCCAAUGAAUGAUCUUACUAUCACGUUCAGACAUAUGAAUUUCACUCAUUGUUUUCCUCCCAUAGAAACUUGGAGAGUAUUUUACCCUUUACCAUCUAAUUAUGAAUUCUUGUAAGCAUAAACCUUGUUCUUAGAAUCUUCAAGUUCUCUCAGAACCCACUAUGUAAUCUUCUUUCGAUUAGAAUUGUGGCAAGGGCCAGAGUCUAGGUCACCUACUACAGUAGUACAAUGAUGUGGUAAAAUAAGAUUUUAAAGCGACCAUAUCUUAAGUAGUAAAUUUGCUACCUACUUCCUAGCUAUUUCUCUCUUUCAUUUUUUUUUCCUUUUCAAAAUUUUCUUCUUUUGUUUGGUUAUGAGAGCCUGAGUUCUCCUUGUCAGCUAAUCCUUUACUAGUUCUUCCACGGAGAUUUUGUUAAUGAUAGCUGGAUCCUUUCAGCUCUCUUAUUGACUUGCUGAGUUGGUUUCUCAGCUCCAAUGAGUAGAUUUGGACUUGGUGGCCACAUCAGGGGUCAGUCAAGUUUGAGUCUGUAAGGGGCCUUAGGGUCUCUUGGAUACAUUUGAGUUUUGAUAAGACAAUUAUUUAUUUAUAUUAUCUCAUCUCACACGGUUUUGCCUUUAUAGUCAACCAAGCUUAUGCCAUGACAAUAUAAGAUGAAGGCAUGAGUCUAUAACAUGUCUUUGAUCUUGACAUUGUGACUUACUUUUUUCCAAACUUAAAUCAAUCCUCAUUGACUUUCUGGUUUGAAUCUGAUGACGUUGCCACUGAUUAGAUCCUCCCAUCACUCUCUUCACACAGAAUCUUAUAAGUUAUAAUGUCCUGUUUUGUACACGGGUCCUUCUACAUUUACAAUCUUUACAAGUUUGUUUUAAAUUAUCGGUCAUUUUUUUCCCCUUUUACUCUUUGUUAGUCGUUACAAUUCUUGAGUUUCAUUCUACACGUCUCAAAUUAAGGCAUAAAUUCAUAAAUGAAAUGUACGGUAAAUUUCUGACUAGUAAUAGAAAACUCGUGACAAAUAAGAAUAAAAGACUUCUCUGUAGUAGUAGUAUUAGUCUCCCUUCCUUGUAUUUUCCCCUCAAAGUAAGAGGGCAAAGUUGAAAAGGUUCAACUGUUAGGCCCUGCACCCAAGCCAUGCCAAUUAGCAUUUGUUUAUCUGCAUAUUGAUAUAUAUAUGCUUCUACACUGGCCCUCAUCAUACUGCAAAUAACUUGGCUUAGUUGCCUGUAUCGAGUAUUUGCCGUUUGAUAAGUGAACUUAUGGUCUUGCCACUGUCCUCAUAUGUGUCCCUUUUUUAAUUUAAGAAAAACAAUUAUAAAACAAAUGCUAAUGCUGCAUCAUUCGAGAUUUUAUGUUUUUCCCCCCAUUUACUCUGGUUAAGUCUUAACAUUCUUUCAGGCAUUAAUUUGUGAAAAAAUUUGAGCUAGUGUAGUAGAACUGUAGAUGGUUUAAUGUUUUAAUAUUCAACUUUUUUUUAACAUAUAUUUGAAAAUAUAUUAAAUCUAAUAAAAAAUUACAAAACCAUUUUGAACAAGAGAUUAAGUAAGUUAUAGGAGGAUAUAUAGAAUUACUGUUAGUUAUUUGCAUAUAAUCAUUGGUAGACAAUCAUUAAUAUUGGACUAUGAUUUAGUAUUUCAUUCAGUUGUUAUUUUUCUUUUUGAACUUAAUAUUUCAUUGAAUUUAGACUUUUGAUUAUAUUUGGGUCACGUGUAUUGUCCUAUUCCAAGCAUAGACAGAUUGCAUUUUACUGUCUUACAGCAGCUUGUGAUAAUCAUAAGGUAGUUGAAAUAAUGCAUCCAAGAGAUGUUUCUUAACCACUACAUAUUGAGAGAGAAGGAAAGAGAGAGAGAUGAAACUGUAGAUAACAAUAUCAUAUUUUCUUUCUAGCAGAUAGCCUGAUACAUCUUUGUAGUUCAGAAUUUUAUAUCUUAACCCCCUCCCCAAGAAAAGAAGAUAUACUAAAGAUGAAAAUAGAAGCAAAAGGAACCCUGAUAGAAAGGUACUACAACUGUCCUAUGUAACUGAAACUAGAACCACUACUGUUUAACUAUAGUUUUACACAAAAGGGAGCAAUAGAGACUGUAGCUGGGGUCAUGAUAAAGGACGCAUUUGGUGGGGUCAUGAUACAUCUGUUUAAUAGGAGGGAGUCAGGGUUUGCUAGAAUUGGAAGGGUUUGUGUUGGAGCUGGAGCAGAGGUUGAGGUCAGGAAUAUUGUUUGGAGCUUUUGAGUUUCCAUUGGCAAGUUUCUGUUUCAGUUCAGAUAGAAGUGCUUGAUUCUCCUGGUUAAGCAGCUGUGCUUUCUUCCUCAGCCUCUCAUUCUCCUUCAUUAUGUAGCAGUUCUGUAGGUACAGCUUUGAGUUCAGCCUUUCCAUGACUACGAAAAAAAGCACCUUUUCAAACUUCCUGUAGUAUGUGCGCCUGAAAACGAAAAACACCGGUAUCAGCAAAAAGUAGUUUAAGGUCAUAGGUAUCAUUCUUUAUUGUCAAACAUAUUAUUCUACAUUACUCUACAGCAGGAGACAAUUUGGUUAUACUAUUUUCAAAUCCAUACUGAAAUUAAAAAUAAUCUAGAUAUCUUUUUUCUUUGCAUGAAUAUCUCCAACUAGAAAAUAUUUAAAUAUACAGCAAACGAGUGAAGGAUAUUCAAAACAUUGCUAAAUAUGGUAAGGUGAGAGGAAAAAACUGUAGAACAAAAAAAGCUUAAAAAUCUUUAAAAGAUUUGAGUUAGUAACAACUUAAAAAUAUUUACCCAAAAGAGUGAAAACAAAUUGAAGAGAAGACUUAGAAAGACAGAGUUAAACCGGUCAGUGUUAAGAUGUUCUGAGGUUUCUUAUUGAGUUAACCACUUUGCAAGAGGUAAUUUUAACAACUGUUGUAGGAAAAGUAAAUAUUUCAGAGGAAAACAGAGCAAGGGACGGCUAAAGAAUGACUUAAUAGAUUUGGACCACAUAAGCUAUAAAUAGAGCAAAUGUGAUUGUCCGUGAAAUGAAGAGAGAAGAAGUGUGGUUGGAAUAAAUGGUCGUCCAAAUAUGUACUCAUGAAGGAUGGUCUCUUUCGGUUGCCCAUACAUGGAAGAAAGGGAUAAAAGAUCAUAAAAACAGUAGAUUGAACUUGUGUUGUGUGUGUCUCAGUUCACAUAUGCGUAUGUGACUGUGUUAUCUCUGUAAGUAGAUAUGACUUGCCCUUUAUAUUUAUGUAAAAGAAUCUGCCAUUCUAUCCUCUUAAACAAAAAGAGAAUGUGCCGAAAGUUGUUAUAAAACAGAAGAAACAAGAGACAGACAAAGACACCAUGAAUAAAAAGCAAAGAAAAUCAAAUGUUGGAGAAUCCAAGAGAAGAAGGAAACAUUUCAAAUAAAAUAUAAAAUAAAAAAGAAAAGACAUUCCCUCCUCAAAAUGAGGUAACAAGACAGAAAAAGUAAAGAAACCGCAAGUCCCAACACUGUGAACCUCCUCUUCUUGUUUGUGAUAAUCUAGCAUAUAUAUAUAUAAACAUGUUGUUGACCAUGUCUACAACCUUCUUAGUGAAAGAAAACAGAGAGAAGAAGAAGAAGAAGAAGAGAGGUGGGGGCCUCUUUAUUUCUUUAUGCUUUCAAAAAAGAUCACCUUUUAGAAGGUGGGUUGGUUGGUUAGAGAGCUUUGGGUGGCCGAGGAAGCUUUUCUAUGCCUCUGGUUUCUAACAACUAGUAGCAGCAGUUAAAAGAGAAAAAGACUAAUUGUGUUGUGAAGUGAGGGACAAAGCGAACAAAGGGAGGCCUCGUAAUAUAUAGAGCAAAAGCUAAAGACAGAGAAGGCAAAUGCAAAGGGCAAGAAAGAAAGAAAGGGGGGGAAAAAAAAUAAUAGAGAGAGACGCACACACAUUGCCUUCUCUCAUCUGACACAACAAUCAUUCAUGUGUAAGCAUGGAAGGCGGCCGGUUAAGGGCAAGGAUUUAAUGUUUUGGUUUUGUAUGAUGAUGGGUAUGGCGUCAUAUGAAUGAUGAUGGGUCAGGGGUAGUUUUGUCACAAAGUAAUAAUUAUGGGUAUACGCGGGACAAUUAUGUGAUUCUAUUUUUUUUCUGGUGGCUAUAGGAGCUUGUAAAGAGAUAAAAGAAAAAAAAUGAUGAUGGUGAGCUAGGCCGUCCCCAAGAUUCGCAAUGAUGGUUUGGAUUGGGUUCGAACCAUCAUCACAGCACCACACCCCCCUCUCCCUCUCCCUCUCCCUCUCCCUCCUCUUCACUUCUUUCUUCAUCAUCAAUUCUCUUUUGUUUUGUUUUUAUUUCCUAUUCCUAUUUCCAUUUCCUUGCUUUCUUUGAUUUUGUUUCUUGGUUUGGCACCUGUUGGUAAUAAUCAUUCUUUUGCCGUAAUGCAAUGUUUCUUUGUUGAAACUUCAAAAUGGCGGUUUUGUGCAUUGAGAGACUAAAAGUAAAAAAUUACUCCACCACUUGUUCCGGGCUUUAUGGUUCACAACUUCACAUGUAUUGUUUUCACGAAUUAUGCCUACAUUUGUAGGUUGCCAUCCCCGGUUAUUUCUAUACGUAGGGUUCAAUUUGGAAUUAUGUUAAGUUUUCUAGACUCUCUCAAAUUCAAGGUAUGAUUACUAAGAUAUAAUGUCACCAUAAACUUGUUCAAUAAUGUGAUUGGAGGGAAAAGCUUGGUGAACUUUGAAUCUAGUACCUUCUAACAAAAGUAUUUAAAUUUUAUUAAAAAAAUAAUCGACCUUUUUAAAUUAUUGGUCUAAAUUAUUCUUACAAAUUUAAAAGAAAAUCUUCUGCGAUAUCAAGAAAUUUAUGAUGCUUAGUGAAAUUUACAAGUGAAUAUAUAUAUAUAUAUAUAUUAAAAUUUCAUAUAAGUAAAGCUUUUAUACUUAUUUAAAAGAUUAGAGUGGUUUAUUCAAUAGACAAUUUCUAAUUAUAAGUUUAUACAAUGGGCUAAUAGAAUAUAACCAAAUGACAAAUACUGCCCCCUAUGGUUCUCCACUGUGCUGCACCAUUGAUGAUGUUUGUUUUACGUUAUUACAAUCAUCAUUAUAAUAUGUGGGUAGGAUCAUAAGUGAAAGCAUUUUUUUGUUGGUGUGGCUAAAUUUAGGGUGAUUUUGAAAAUGAUAAUAAUAAGAAUGGGUUGGAGACGAGUUGGGCCAGCCUCAUGGGUUAUGAGUGCCUUAGCGUGAAACAUCAUACUUGACAGGUGGUGUUUUGGAUGAAUCUAUGGGCAAAAUGGUCAAAAAUUAAACUCCCAUCGAGUCUUGCCCCUCGUGGAGCUCGUUCAUUUAGCCAUCAAUCCCACUAUUCGUACGUGUAUGCAAUAAUUGUAACCUUCCAAUUCCAUUGGCUGUUUGCUUCUUAUUUUACCUUUUUGCCAUUAACGGUCCCUUGCUCCUCUUUCAAACCAUAUUUUCAAGUUUGACCAUUCUUUUAAACCCCAUGAUUUUGAGGACAACCAAGUGUUAAGAGUUUUGAUUAUGGAGUAAAACUAGAAUACUAACUAUUCUAAUUUUACAAUUGGUGAAAUUUUUUUAUUCUAUUUCUAAAAUUAAAAUAUAUAUAACUACAAAUUUAGUGAGAGUGGUAUUUUAACGUGUUUUAAUUAAAAUAUGAAUUUUUUUAUUAAAUAAUUACUUAUUUAAUGAAUUGUAACAUUACAAUACUUUUACUACAUAUUGACUGUUAAUUAUGAUAAAUGUUAUAAAAUAAACAUAAAAAUAUGACAGAGUUAAUAUAUAAAAUCAAAGAUGUGUGAGCGCGCGUAUAUAUGUUAUUGUCAAAUCUCAUAAUACAUAGUAAAUUAUCGUUACUAUUAUUUAUCUGUAGUUUGAAAAAUACAUGGGACAAUAUGUUAUACAUUGAACGGACAAGGAGGAACAAGCACGAUGGCUUGUCUGCAUUGUAAUGGUCUUUAGCCAAACACAGAAGAUUGGGACAUUAGAUUGCAUUUUCAUUUUAAAUUUAUUUUUCUUAUGUUUGUAGUUUUUUCUUUUAAAAAAACAGAGAGAGAGAGAGAGGGAGACAGAUAUUUUAUUUCAUGCACGUGGACAUGUAUGAUUUCCUUGCUUUAUUUUAUUGUACUUAUUUUUCACUAGUCAAGCGUAAUUUAUUUUUUGUUUUCUAUUUUCCUUAGAGGGCACGUGGGUAAGAUUCAUUUCUUUAAGUUGACCUUUAGCCCUUGACAUUUAAAUUACUGUUUUUAUAAUAUCUAAAAAUCUAUUUGAUAGUAAAAUUUAAAAGAAAAAGAGGUAAAUAGUUAUUUUUUUAAUUAUUUAUUUAUUAUAAAAAAUAUUUAAAAAUAAAAAGUAUAAAAAAUCAUAUUAUUAGUUUUUAUUCACACUGGAACAUGUAUUUCUUUUUUAUUUAUAUGAUUUAUUUAAUUUUGAAUAAAUAUGAAUAAAAUAUAUAUUUAAAAGUAAAAGUAAUACUAUAAAAUGCGGCCAUAAAGAUUAUUAGUUAUUAUGAAAAUAGUAAGAUAACUGUAUAUAUUACUUACAGAAAAUGAUCAAUCCUCUCCUGAUCUGAAUACUCCUGAUCUUUUACAGAUCUUAUACCACUUGUGUUUUAGUGUUAGUGGAUGAUUAUGAUUUAACUACUUUUUCUUUUUAAUUUAUUAACCACAAAUCAUAUUAAUAGAAUUUGCUCAGAUGAAAAUCAGAUCAGGAGAGAAUCCUAAUCCUACAAAAAAUUCAUAAUCACCUUUUGAAUAAUUUACCAAAAAAUUAUAAAAUGAAUAAAAUCAUGUUAUACUUUCCUAAGUGAUUAGUAAGACAUAUAUUCAUUUUUUUUUAUCCUAAAUAUCGUUUGGGAUUUUUUUUUUUUUGAUAAAAAAUUUCGGAUGGGUAGCACUAGUUAAUUUUUAAAGAUUUGGUGUGACUAAUACAUUUAUAAAUGGUAAAGAUUUACAGAUUCACAAUCUUGCGUUUUAUUCAACAUAAGCUCGUCGAAUUGUGCAAUAACAUAUGUGUUAUAUCUUUAUAUAUAUAUAAUCUUAAAAAUGUGACGAAAGUCUUAUAUGAGAUGUAGGCCCCCUUUAAGUUAUUCAAUAAAAAUUGUGAUACAAUUUUUUUUUUCGCACCUAUUCUGAAGACUAUAAUGAUUAUAUAAAUUUAAAGCGGAAAUAUAUGUGAUAACAUUUCAUUCAUUGGAUAACUUCAUUUUAUUUCAAUUGAAUAUUCUUAAAAUUUAUUAUUGAAUGAAAUUUAACAUGUAAGGCUCCACAAGAAAGGCACAAGCUCUAUUUCAUUUAGUUAUUUGGCCUAGUAAUCGAAUUGAAGUAACCAAUUCCAGUGGCAUGAGCAACAGUGCAGUAUGCAUAUGAUGCUCAAACUGUGAGAAGAGAAAAUCUAAAAGAAAUUGAAAAACCAAAACAUAGGGAGGCAAAAGGGAACAAAAGGAGUCUGCAAGCUGCCUAAACGUGCAAGUGAGUAAAUAAAUGGACUUAAAAAGUGUUGAAAUCUAGCGCUAGGUUUUGAAGUCUAUUCUGAAACAACCAAUGAUGGCAAAACUCAUUAUUAAUGGUCUUUUGCAUUGUAAUCUUUCCACCCUCUUAAAUAAAUUUUAGCUUUUUGCAGCAAUCUUUGAGCACACCCACCCUUAAUGGAAAAAAAGAAAAUUUUGGCUUUCAUGAUUUAAAAGAGGGGGGAGCUUUUUAUUAUUAUUUUUCAUAAAUGAGUAUGACAGUGCUCAAGAGAUUUGCAUGGCCACAGAUAGGCAUUCAUGAGUACUCUUCAUCAUCAUCAUCUCCUCCUUUGCCAAUAACUACAAUUAUUCAGAGUGACCCAACUGCGUAAUGAACCUCAUUUACUCAAAGUUCAAAAAGCCAAGGGGAAAAAAGGGAAAAGAAUUUACCCUUUUAUUCAAACAGUAUUUCUUUUCCAAAAAAAAUAUUUCUUUUACCCCCAAUGUGAAUGAAUCAAGACCCUAAAUAAAAAGUUUUGUUUAGAUAUAAAUUGACAGAGCAAUGCGUUACGUGUUUUAAAUUGUUAUUAAAUUUGUCUUAUACUCUUUUACUUUUAAUAUUUUAACGUCACGUUUAUUAUAAGGACAUUUUAUACUCAAUAUUUAUGUUAAUAUAAUUUUUACUAAAAAAAUCUAAAAGAAAAAUAUGAAUUAUUCUUUUCUGUAAGCUUGUAAUUCUUUUUUUAAACCUUCCUAUUAUAGAACUUUUAUUCAUAUACAUUUAAUUUAUUUUUUUUUCAUUUUUCAUAAAACAGAGAGGCCCAUGCAUAAUUAAGCUAAAAGUGAGGUGAGUGAAAAAAUUUUAACCCAAAGAUAAAGAUGGAGAUGAUUGCAUCACCGAUGAAGUAGAUAGAUUAGUUGACCCGUGGAUUAUGAUUGGACAGCAUUGAUGCUAGACACGUGAAAGCCUUGGAAAUUUUUAUCUUUUCACAUCAUUGGGGAAGUUGUGAUCUCAUUGGCAGGGAUUAUGGUUCAAUGACCCACAGGUAAUCAAUAUAUAUAUAUUUUUUAUUUUUAUUAAAGUUCUUUGUAAAUUAAAUUUUUAACCAGCCAUGAGCCCAUGACCCAUGACCCAUGGGCAAUGACAACGAGCAUGAUCUCAUUAAAUAGGAAGCUCCUUUUGAGUUUUGUCUACUUUCUGAGGCCAUAUUUAAUCAUAUCAAAUAAUAACCAAUUCCUGCAUGGCUAAUGAUGAAUUUUUUUUCACAGUAUCAUGGUAGCCAAACUGUGUGCAUUGAGCCCUACACGUGACCUUAUUAGCUUAGGGUUUAGGGUUUUGAUCAUUCAUCAACAUCUACUUUAGGAAUUAAGAUUACUCUGUUGUUAUUAUUAAUUAUUAUUUUUAAUUUUGGUGUUGAGUCUAAAAGGGGACCACGGAAAAACCCACGCCCUAUCUUUUGAAUUCCAUUAAUUCAGUUCUGUUUCACACCACACGUCAAAGAAGUUGGCUAUGACUUUUUUUUUUUUUUUUUUCCUUCAAUAAUUAUAUAUAUAUAUAAUUUAAGGGCAUUGCUUGUUGAUUGAAUUUAAUGAAGAUGAAUUUCUAGUUCUUAUAUAACACUUUUAUUUUUCAUUUUUAAGUUUCCAGUUUGUCUGGUUCAUAUGGAUAGGAAUAAUAACCGACUUGCAGCCCCACAAAAUCAAUUCCAUUAUGAAUUUGAAUGCUGCAAUGUGGUCUUUGUGGCUGUUUAUAUGUGACAUGAUUGGCAAUUCUAGUGGGCUAAUUAAUAUAUAAGGGUAAACUUUCUUUUUUUUUUUCUUUUUUUUUUGAGAGAGAAAAAAUUCCAGUACAGUUUUAAGGGCGAAGAUGUCAAAAAGUGGAGCAUUGCAAUUUGGACGGGCCUACGAAGCAGAGAUCCAAUUAACAGUGGACUUAAAUUUGUUACCCGUCGUUUUCGGAUAGGUUGAGGAUACUAACAACCUAUUUUAUUUAGUAUUGAGGCAUUGUAACUUCUAACCUAUUAUUAUUAUUAUGAAAAAAAAAAAGAUAUAUUUAUAAAAUAAAAAUUAAUAGUUAUAGUGAAUAUGAUUUUUAAGUAAUAAUUUUGAUAAAAAUAACAAAGAUAUUACAGACUUUUCAUCACAUAAGUAUAAAAUCAAAAUAUCUUAUCUUUUAAGUCAUAACAAUUAGUGUUUACAAAUACUCGAAUGCUUUAACUUAAAGUUAUACCUUCUCAACCUCAAUACCAAAUAUAUCUUAAAUUGCAUGACAUUAGUCAACAGGUCAUGGCCUCAUGGGUGGUAGUCAUAUUCUUACCCCCACAAUUUGUGUAAAACCACCUCCACUUACAAAUAUAUAUAUGACGAUGAUGUUCACUUAGAAAAUAUCCAAGCUGUUUUCCAAGUUCUAGGGCCUGUUUAGAAUUUAUUAUGGCUGAUGAAAUAAAUUAUUUUGUUGUGCAUAUCAAAUAAGCUGCUUAUAAAAAAUGUGACUUGGUGUUUGCUAAAUACAUGUAUUUUGUAAAAUUUAUUAUGAAAGUGUUGUUUUAUUAUAUAAUUAACAAAAUAGUUUAAGUUGCUUUUUAUUUAUAUAUAAUUAGGGUUUAUGGAAAAUAAAACAUAAUUGUCUUUUUGUUAAAAUAUUAAGGUUAUAAUAAGAAUUUUAAAAAUUUAUGGUCGUUAAUUUAAUAAACUACUAAAAAAAAGCCUCUACCUCUUUUUUAAAAGCUAUUGUUAAAUUGGAGAAAAUUAUGAAAUAAACAAAUUUUCAAAUUUUACCAAACAUCAUUUUUAUCAAAACUUACGAAAUAAACCGCUUAUAGUGUUUUAACUUCAAUUUUAAAUGGGGCCUUAAUCCAUGUGCAUGUAUGAGCUAAUUAACCAAAAUAGACAAAAGUUUGUAUAUAUGUAGGAUUUAUGAAAAAUAAAUUAUAAUUGUCUUUUUAUUAAAAUAUUAAAGAUAUAAUAGAAACUUAAAAAAUGUAAGAUGAUUUAUUAAAUAAAUUGCUUAUAAAAUUAAUAAAAACAACCUUUUACUUAUUUAUAAAAGCUACUGCUAAAAUAGAAAAAAAAUAUUAUGAAAUAAGCAGUUUUUGAAAAUUUUACCAAACACCAUUUUUUUCAAAAUUUAUGAAAUAGACCGCUUAUAACAUUUCAACCCCAAUUCCAAAGAUAAACCUUAAUAGAUGCAUGGGCUAAUUAGCUUGAAAGUUGGUAACGAGUGCUUCAUGGUUUUACUUAACAUAGAACACUUGUUUUGCUGAUAAUAAGAAACCCACUCCGUCCCAAUUGUCUCAUAAUAUCAAUAAAUUUAUGCUUCCUAGUACUUUUUAUUUUUAUUUUUGAUAUAAAAGAAUUACUUUCAUUAGAUCAACUAAGUGAUUACAAACAUAACUUUAGGUGGAUAAGAGUCCCACCAAAUAUAAGUAUGACCACUAACUACUGUAUUUUAGCUAGAGUAUGAGUAAUUACAUUUCAAUCUCUUAGAGUAUGCUGAAUUUUAAACAAAUUUUCUCCCAUUUACAUUUCGCUGGAUAUCAGCAAUGAUCCAACAAAUUUUAGUUUUGCUGCUUUUAAGAAAAUUCCCAAGUUGAAAUCACAGCUACAGUUAAAGAAGAAGGAAGAAGCAGCAACAAAAUUUGACCUUUGAUAAACAUAAUUAUGAAUCUAAAAGGAUUGUGUUGUCAUUUUAGGAGGCACCAACUUGUGGCACAAAAAGCCUUUCACUCCAUUAACCAGAGAGAAAUUAUUACAAACUACUGAUUAAUGCCACAUUGAGAGGCAAUAAUAAAAACAUAUUACGGCAGCUGAAAUUGCUAAAUUACCCAGUGCCUUCAUUCAUAGCUAAUGCAUUUGAAAAAUGGAUUCUAUCUUUUUCCUCCCAAUACGAAACUUGAUUUUAUGUUUUCAAUUUCGUAUAACUAAUUUUUUUUUAAAAAACGAGUCAUACUAAACACAUUUUUCUUAUUUUCCGUUUUUAAAUAUUAUUAUUUUAUUUUUAAAAAAGAAAGAUUUGAAAAUCUUUUUGCAAACGAUACCACUAAACAUAUAAAUAAAAAUAAAAAUUAAUGAAUAUGCCCGACAUGCUUUGCGGCUCCUUGCAGGGAGAGAGGAAAGCUCUAAACGUCACAACAUAUUUUUUUUCUAAAUACAAACAAUUGAUGAAGUUUUAAUAGAUCAGUUAAGUUACAAAAUCUCUCAAAUGCAAGGGUUAGUUUUUGUUGGGCCAUUAUGUGAUUCUCUGCCCAAUCCACUUUGGUAGCAUUUAUAAAAGAUAGAAAAAAUAAUGGGCUCUAAAAAUUUGAUCAAGUUGGGUCUUACCUCAUUCAUAGUCAAGACACAUAUUCAUGGUAAAAUCAAAUGUCCUUUUUAUCUACUGACACUUUCUUUUUGGUUGAUAAUAAAUAAUGUCCACGAGGUUACAAAAAAAUGAAUAAGUUACAAGAUAAAAGCUUUGGCAUCUAUGUUUUGAUAUGCGUGCUUUUUAUUGUGAUUUUGAGUAUAUUGGCUCCAAGACAUUGCAGGAUUACAAUUUACAAGUAGGAUCAGAUGUGAGGCUCCUCAGCCAAAUUGAGUCGCUUGCAAUUGGCUUAUCAUCAUCAUUCCUGUGCCACGUCCACUGUGCAUGGGUUGCAUUAACCACCUCCAGUUGCCCAUGCCCAAAGCUCGCCUCUCUGAAUACUGAUAUUGCAGGUUGCGGAUUCAUAAAUCUGAGUAACACAAGAGACGACACCACAAAAAAUAAAAAAUAAAAAAUUACUUGAUAGUUCCAACAUCCGCAUAAUUAAAAUACAAAAUUAAUUUGUUCAGUGAAAAUAAAUUUAUUACCUACUCGCAAGGCCUUCGCGGUUACCACCAUCCCCGAUGGUUAUAUGCACCGGGCCACAAUUGUCAGGUUUGCCAUUGGAAACACGAGUCUGACACAUUUAUAGAGCAAAAUAAAAAUAAAAAUAAAAAAAUUAUCAGGAAAUUAAAGAGAAAAAAAAUGAAAAUGAUGAAUGUAGCUGAUGGUGAAGAAGGAAAAUUGAUGAAGCUUACAAAGCGCUCAUACGCAUGAACAUGCCCAGCAAAAACAACAUCAACACGAGCCCGGUGAAUUAACCCUUCCAUGGCUUUUCUCAUGCCCUCGGAUUCAACCUCACCCUGAUGAGCAGUAUUCGUAUUAUACCACGGAGCAUGAAUAAGCACCACUAUCCAUGGAGUUUUUCCUCUGUCAACUUUGUUCAAAUCAGCCUCUAGCCAUUUAUACUGAUCCGAAUUCUGAUCGAAAUCAGUGUAAGAUCCCAACAUGACAACAUGAACACCUGCAGCGUCGAAUGAAUAGUAGAGAUUUGAAUUGGAACCACUCUCUUCAAACGGCAUGCGCCAUCUUGCAUUAUAGGACGUAAAUUUAGUGCUAUGGAUGAUCGGAAGCUUCUCUAUCUCGUGGUUUCCUUGUGUCACCAUCCACGGCCUUUGGCUAGCCAAUGGCUCGACCAUGCGGCCGAAUGAGUCCCAAAGAGGUUGAUCAAGAUCCGCAUAUGAUAGGUCCCCUGGCAGUAACAACAUAUCGUAGUUUGAUUUUGCUACGUGCUGCAACGUUGAGUUCGUCCAGCCGGUCUGUCCAAGAUCGCCUGCCAUUUUGCAAUAUGCACAAAUCAGAAGAACCAUACAACAUACAACUUCAAAAAUGUACACAUGUUAUAUAUUCAUUGGCUGGUUGUAUAGAAGAUUCAAGCAUGCAUACAUACAUACAUACCCACAAUUGCAAACUUGAUUGGAAGCUGAGCAGGCGGGGUUUUGAAACUGCGUUCUUGGGCCGAGUCUGGGCCGCAUCGAUAGUAGUAAACUGUGUUGGGCUUCAAUGGGCCAACGACCACAUCAUGAAUUUCACCGGACUUGUACAGGACAUAAUGAUAUGAAGAUGUUGUUCCAUUAGCAGAAUUGUCAUAAACACCAGGAGACGUGCCGUAUUUUACCGUUGCUGGAGAUGAAUUUUCUGUAAUCCAUGAUAGUCUCAUUCUGUCUUGGCCAACUAGUGAUAUAUGCACCUGCAACAGCACAAUGUCACGAUGUCUAAUGUGUUAAAGUUUCAACCAUUUUGCUAUCUUGGACUUUAUGGGCCAUUAGAAAGGCCUAGCCCACUUUACCUAACCCAACUCCGAUAAAUACUACAGAAUAAUUAUAUUGGUGUUGACUCUAACUAAUGUAAGGGUGUUGGCGCGUGGGCACUCUCAAGUCUCAAAUAUCCAAUGUUUGUAAAGUUGACAAAUGUGAAAUGACAACCCAAAAUCCACUUAGCGUUCACCAUUCAGGUUAGGCUUUUUAGGCUUCCGCCAGGUGGCAUAUUCUCCACAGUAAUAAAAUGACACAUCUUGAAUCAAAUUUCCCGGAACAGUUGUGAUGUAACUAGAAAUAGAUUAAAUAAAUAAAUAAAUAAAAUUUUGGUUUUAUUUUCUUAAUUAUAUUUCAAAAUACAGAUUACUAUUUUUUUUUUCUUAUAAAGAAAAAUGCUUACUGGUUAUCCCGUGGUUCUUUCUUGCCAAACCAGUAGAGUAUGCUAUACAAAAUUCGCAUGUUUGACUUUAGCGUCAUUGAUUGCUUAACGCAUUGUUCAUAUUGAUAACACUAUCAGUUUAAAGAAAUUAAUCACCCAAAAAAAGUGAUCAGUUGGUUGGUUCUUUUCAACUAAAUUGGUGAGUGAAAAAGGUUGAAAUUUCUUUCUUUUUGGUCAUCUAACCAACUUCUAGACCUAGUGAGGCACACCAUCCAUGCAACUACGACCUUAAAUAUGGCACUAAUAAUCGUAGUCUCAAACAAAUUAAGAUGACGUCACUAUAUUUAAAUGAGAGAGCAUAAUAAAAAAAGGGAGAGCAAAUUUUAUAUUGCUACUAUCAUUUUGCAGUACCUUAUAUUUCUUUAAAUGUGUUUUCUCCAUUCUCAAAUAAAAUGAAAAAUAUAUGUAAAAUUUUAUUUAUACACUAUCAUUAAAAACACAUAAUAAAAAUACACGAGAGAUCUAAUUAAAAGAUGAUCUUUAAACACCAUAGAUAAUAAAUUUUAAAACAUUCUCAGAGAAUGAGAAGCAAUUAAUCUAUCAUCUUCAAGUUAAUUUAAAUUAAUCUCUUAUAUUUCGGAAUCUAUUAAAUAGUUGAAUCCAAAUUAAUAUAGGCUCUAAAAAUAACCCCGGGGGGGGGGGGGUGGUUGGAGAGAAUCAAUGCUGUCUUAUGAGCCAGAGAAUGAAUGAAUGAAUGAAUUGAUGAAGCCGAAAAGAUCAUAGAGAGAGAUUUAUUACCUGCUGAGGCGAAGCGGAAUCCUGAUCUUUAUGAUGAAAAAAAAGAGUCUGACGCGGCGGUGGACGAACAUAUGUAGAAACGACGCCGCUAAAUAAUGAGGACUCAAACGCAAAUACCAAUAUUGCUAACACCAAAUGACGAAAACCUUGAGCAGCCAUGGGCGUACGCAGAUGACUGAUGAAAUCUAUAAUGAAUGAAACGACGACGGAGAGGGAGAUUCUAAAAAGUUCUCUAAACGGAAUUGCUUCUUUAAUUCCUAGUAUGGGAUACGAGAUGAUAAUAAUUUGUUUUAAUAAGGAUCGUGGUUUUAGGAUAUUGACGGUGCAGCCUGCAGACUGCACACAUAUGGUUAGUUGGCAAGUGGGCGCAUAGCCGGAGGACACGUACGUGUAAUCAGAGAAUAUUCGUGGCAUCUAAUUUCUGAGGUGGAAUUUCCUUUAUUAUUAUUAUUUUGUUAUAUUGCUGUGGUUUGUUACUUAUUUUUUGUCCAAGGCCAAAAGAGUUCGUCAUGGUUACGAUGUUUGUUGACCUUUUAGUAAUGUUGCAUUGCGGCCACGGUUACACUUUACAGUGACCCCUUUGUUUGUGUUCGGCCGUUUGUAUGUAUUCAUGCAUGAUUGUUAUUCUGGGCUUAUCAUUACUUUUUUUUUUUUGGUCGGUGUAUUGUUUCUUGUCCAUUUGCCUCUCUUACGUCCAUAAAUCCAAUUUGAAUACGAAAAGGAAAUCAUGUCAUUGAUAUAAUUCAACGAGAACAAGGAACGAUGAGGUUCUUAGUUAAUUGUUAGGUAAACUUUUUUAAAACUUAUAACUAUGUCCUUUGUUAGUUGUUCCGAGUCAACUAAUCGGAUAUAAGCCAGACCAGACAUCCAACCCCACGUAUACUUGCUUCAGACCAAAAUUAAAUGUUAUUUUAAACUCAAAACAUUUGAAAUUGAAUUUGUUGACUUAAUAUCGAGAAAUAAUUAAAACACGAUGCCUUAUUUCUCGAGACAAUUAUUUUAAUUUGUUCCUCACCAGUCCUUAUCACUGUUAAAAGAAAAUUAACUGCUACACUCUGUAAUUUCAUCGCAUGGUAGAUUCUUAGGAUAUUCUGGUUAAUACUACUCGUCUGCACGUUCCGGCUCAUUGAAUUUUUUUUUUUUAAAAGAAAAAAAAAUCACUGAAAUUACAUAAUUGCGGUUUCUUGUGAGUUUCGAUUUCUUUCAUGUGUUUGCCUGGCGAUAAGAAUUUUAAAACUGAAGAGACUCAUGAGUCAUGAUUUUAGUCUCCGAGUAAGAAGGAAUCCUUUAGAUUUUCGGAACACGGUUGCCUUUGCUAAGACAAGAGCCUCCGUAUUAAAAUUUAACUAAUUUAUAAGGCAGCUGUUAUAUGCAUCUUAAAAACAAUUUCUCAUUAUCUCUUAAUUUUUUAACAAGUAAUGACUGGAUCCUGGAAAAAAAAAUUGAUUAUAAAUUAUCUGUAACUUAACAAGACACGAUUAGUUAAUUUAUUGUCAGUCCACCAGUUUGAUAAACGAAGAUAGGUAUCUCUGUAUACUCCUGAAUAAGUUUGUUAUAUUUUAAUGUUUUUUUUUUUCCAACCGUUUAUCUUUAGUUUCUUGUGGCCACUAAUAUACGGAACUGAAGAUAAGUGAAGCAAAAAGCUGACCUCGUUUAGCUAGCUCAAAACUAAGAAUUGAUAUUUGCCAGUUCUGAGAGGGCGGGCCAGAUACUCUCUGCUGAGUGUUUCAUUUCUGUAAGCAUACAGCUAAAUUUAACUAAUAAAUAUUCUAACAACGCACUUAUUACUUCACGCCAAUGCAACUAAUAAUUUACAAAUAUUCAAACUCUGUAAACCCCUUCUUAUAUCCCUCCCCAGCUUCAUCAAAUUCCAAUCGCAAGAAAAAAGAAUGGCAAAAUUAUGGUCACCAGCAGCAUUUCGUGUUCUCUUAACAAUUUGCUGUGUCCCUCAAAUAAUGCUUCAUUCUCAUGUAUCAGCCGAAGAAUACUACAUCCGCCAACCGCCUCGCAGUGUCAUUCAAACUCCCAACAAACGAUCUGAAUCCGAUCCUCAACAGGUAAAUACAUAUAACAAGAAGAAAACAUUCACGCCCAUUAUAAUUAGUUCUUUAAUUUUCACUUUGUUCAACAACUUUUCACUUCUCUUUUUAGGUCCAUAUUUCAUUGGCGGGGAAAGAUUAUAUUAGAGUUUCUUGGAUAACGGAUGACAAGGAAGCAGAAUCAGUGGUGGAAUAUGGAAAAUUACCAGGGAGAUAUAACACAAUGGCUACCGGAGAACAUACCUCGUAUCAAUUCUUCUUUUAUAAAUCCGGCAAGAUCCACCACGUUAAAAUUGGACCUCUUGAACCAGCCACUACUUAUUAUUACCGAUGCGGCGGUCGUGGGCCCGAGUUUUCAUUCAAGAUGCCUCCGGCAAGUUUUCC
rnacentral:lncRNA from 1 species